UGUCCCAGCAGCCGCGGUAAUACGGAGGAUCCGANUGUUAUCCGGAUUUAUUGGGUUUAAAGGGUGCUCAGGCGGGGGAUUAAGUCGGCGGUGAAAUUUUGCAGCUCAACUGUAAAAGUGCCUUCGAAACUGGUUUCCUUGAGUGCGGAUGAGGUAGGCGGAAUUUGUGGUGUAGCGGUGAAAUGCAUAGAUAUCACGAGGAACUCCGAUUGCGCAGGCAGCUUACCAAGCCGUAACUGACGCUCAAGCACGAAGGCGUGGGGAUCAAACAGGAUUAGAUACCCUGGUAGUCCACGCAGUAAACGAUGAUUACUGGCUGUUUGCGAUAUAAUGUAAGCGGCUGAGCGAAAGCGUUAAGUAAUCCACCUGGGGAGUACGUUCGCAAGAAUGAAACUCAAAGGAAUUGACGGGGGCCCGCACAAGCGGAGGAACAUGUGGUUUAAUUCGAUGAUACGCGAGGAACCUUACCCGGGCUUGAAAUGCAUCUGGCGUCCCGAGAGAUCGGGAUUUCCCACGGGACAGAUGCGUAGGUGCUGCAUGGUUGUCGUCAGCUCGUGCCGUGAGGUGUCGGCUUAAGUGCCAUAACGAGCGCAACCCCUACCGUUAGUUGCCAUCAGGUCAAGCUGGGGACUCUAACGGGACUGCCAUC
rnacentral:rRNA from 1 species